UACGAAGGGGGCUAGCGUUGCUCGGAAUGACUGGGCGUAAAGGGCGCGUAGGCGGUUUGUACAGUCAGGUGUGAAAUUCCCGGGCUCAACCUGGGGGCGGCACUUGAGACGUAGGAACUGGAGUGAGGAAGAGGGUCGUGGAAUUCCCAGUGUAGAGGUGAAAUUCGUAGAUAUUGGGAAGAACACCGGUGGCGAAGGCGGCGACCUGGUCCUUUUACUGACGCUGAGGCGCGAAAGCUAGGGGAGCAAACGGG
rnacentral:rRNA from 1 species